GCUCCUGGUUAUGCUGAUAUGGAGAAUCUUCAGAAGUAGAGAGAUGAUGCUGUAGAAUAGGCAGAGAAACUGCAGGUUGGAAGAAUAAGGGUCAAGGACAAGCUGGUAGCUGUCAACAAUCAACCAUUAAUUGGUAUGACCUUGAAAGAAACCCAGGCUGUUACAAGAAUCAAAAAACAGGCACAGACUACUAUCCAAGAGAGCAAAGUCUUGAAAUCAUGGGUUCAUCUGGAAGUCAUCAGAAGUCACGUAACAUGAAGCAAGCUAUAUGGACAAGGUUAUGAAGAAGUCAUUGUCAUGCUGGAGGAAUUCCAUGACAUUUGCUCCAGCAACAAUUGCUCUGUUUUAAUUUCUGCACACUAAACAAAUGACUAACUUCAACCCUGGAUUUGACACUCUACCCUACCCUAAACCUAACAUAAGACACAUUGCAAACCUAACCCUAACCCUACAUUGUAGACAAAAUAAAGCCCAGUGCAAUUGUCGCAGAAGCAAAUGUCUUGUCACCACUGGAAGAUGGACUCAACAAACUUCAAGAACUCAACAAAGGUCAAGAAAAUAAUCAGAAAUAUGCUGUGAGAUCCAGUGCUUUACCUCAUGGCUGAGAGGAGGCUUACAAAGCUGAUAGAUGACAGUGCUAUUUAAAUCAUUUCACUUGGUGUACAACAUGGAUGCACCCCCUAUCUGGGAAAGUCUACCAGAGCUAAAGAUGUGACACCAAUCUUGACAUCAUCAUCUGCACUGAAUGUCUGGUGUGAUCAUUUGUUGGUACAUGCAUGGACAUGAUGUAUAAUCCACCUGUAUAGAAAAACAGCCUGCUCAGAAAGACCAAAUUUUAUAACUUUGAAACAAACAACAAAGGAACCUGUUUUGUAAAUACCUCUUUUUUUUAUCUCUGAGGGCAGGGGUGGAUCCAGGAUUUUCCAAAGGAGGAAAAU